GAAUGAAUGCUCUUGGCUGCUGUGACGGGAGAAAUGAGCUGCUUUGCACUGUGGACUGGUGGAACCAUAGACCAAGCGCCAGGAAUGAAGCUGUUUCCAGAGCCGCUGGGAUUACAGAUGUGUACCACUGCACCUGGAUGCCACACUAUUCUGCCAUGAUGUUCUGCCUUACCUGGAUCCCCAAGGAAUGGAACCAACCGACUAUGAAUUGGGACGUCUGAAACCAUGAGUCCCCAAAUAAACUGUUCCUCCUCUACAACUGUUGUGAUUGAGUCUUUUAGUCACAGCAGGAAAAAAAAUGCUGACAAAACAAUAUCUAAUGCCUUUGGAUAUUGUUAGGGUUUGGAUGUGAUUUAUCCCCCAUGGCUUAAUGUGUUAGAAGCUCCAUACUUACUGUGGAGGUGUUGAGGUCUUGGAAACUUUAAGAGGUGAGGCCUGGCACCAUGAUGGUAUCUGCCAUGCGACCCUCAUCAGAAGCUGAACUGGAAGGGCUGCCUGAAUUUGGAAUUUCAUCGUUCAAAAUUUUAAGCUAAAUCAACUUCUUUUCUUCAUAAACUACCCAGAUUUAGGCAUUUUCUUUUUGUAGCAAAAGAAAAUUAAGACAGAUAUAUACAGAAAUGAAAUCGCUGGAUUGUAUGGUAA